ensembl:lncRNA
GCAUUCUUUUUGAACAGAUGCAAAAAAAAUAUGGAUGUGAGCUGAAGUCCUUGAAACGUUUGCUUAGCGGCUUUGCAGGCCGCUCCUAUUUGCAUGAGGUAACGAGGCCUUGUUUGAAAUGUGUUCUGCAAAAACUCAGUCCUGCUCUCCGCUUAAUGCAAAUUCCAACUGCACGUUUGGAGAAAAGAAAAAACUAAUACAAACCCUAGAAGACAAGCUCACUUCAUACUCUGCUUCUCAGGAAGCCCAACCUGGCUCACAGUGCUGCUGAACCACGGCCAAAGCUGAGGAACCUCCGCAGCAGAGCACAGAGCCAGUCAGGCUGUGCCCUGGGAAGGGUUUGGGCAGCAUCUGCACCUUGAUGGGGCUGGAGGGAAGCAGGAGGCUGGGCAGGAUGUGGCAGUGGAGCUGGAAUUGGAACCUGGGCAGGCUCCCUGCAGGCAAGGCACCACAGCUGCCAUGAGGAUGUGCAUCUGACCCGUCUGAAAACCUGCAAGUAUCUGCCAGGGUACCAGUUCUUUUGACGAGAUGGAAAUCACCGACACUGGCAGAUUGCCUGAGAGGAUCAGAAGCAUGUAUGAGGCCGGGGACUUUCCCUAGAUCCCAGGAGCACAAGUGCAGCAUCUCAGUGCCUAAGUGACCUUCCUCAUCUCUGGAGGUCAACUUUCCCUGAAAUCAAUUUAUUCUACCCAGCUGUAUGAAACACAUGCAGCAAUAGAAUCAGCCCAAGACAGAGGAAGAAGUCCAUCAGGUGCAAGUACUUAAUUGGUAAUGCCUCUCUUCAUAAUGUUUUCUUUGGUUUCAUGCUCUGUUAGCUGGCAAAUCUGACUAUCCUCCCAUCAGAUCUGACAGAACUGAAGAGAAAGUGGAACUCUCCUUUGGUUUCAGUUGACCUGAUUCAGCCCAGGCCAUGGGGCACCAACUGGUCAGAUGCCUGAAAGUGUUCUUGGUUCCACUGAGGCACCGUGCACCUGGAGCAGCACCCUGCUCUGCUUGCGGCUGCUCUGCUGCCCUAAAUAUCAGUGGAUCCCCAAAUCAAAAUGAACACCAUCAAACAAGAUAAAGACAAUCUGUCUCGGUCCCUGGGGAUAACCAGGAAACUACCUUAGAACUGCAUUGAGUGGCUGAAUACAGCGUCAGAAACGCUUGUGGCUCCAUCUCCUUUCAUCUGGAAUUCUGAAUUACCCUAAAGGAACUGAAACUCCACAUCCCCAUAUCGUACACCACUAUUUCCAAAACUGAGAGCCAAUCCUGUGUUCACACAAUCUCUUCUGC